UUCGCUCAUUUUUGUAUGGAAUGGGAUCAUUUGCCUGCGUUUGCCGCUAGGGGCGCUGUUCCAAAUGCAUACAAAAUUGGGCUA
rnacentral:pre_miRNA from 1 species